UACGGGGGGAGCAAGCGUUGUUCGGAUUUACUGGGCGUAAAGGGCGCGUAGGCGGCCACCGCAAGUCGACUGUGAAAUCUCCGGGCUUAACCCGGAAAGGUCAGCCGAUACUGCGGGGCUAGAGUGCAGAAGGGGCAACUGGAAUUCUCGGUGUAGCGGUGAAAUGCGUAGAUAUCGAGAGGAACACCUGCGGCGAAGGCGGGUUGCUGGGCUGACACUGACGCUGAGGCGCGAAAGCCAGGGGAGCAAACAGG
rnacentral:rRNA from 1 species